AUACCUAUCUGGCAGGGGUGAUUCCAUGAUCACGAAGAUGGUUUCCCCAGGGCGAGGCUUAUCUGUUGCACUCUGAAUGGGCUGACCCCUGCGAUUUCCCCAAAUGCAGGAAACUCAACUGCAUAAUUUGUGGUAGUGGGGGACUGUGUUCGCGCUCUCCCCUG
rnacentral:snRNA from 1 species